UACGAAGGGGGCUCGCGUUGCUCGGAAUCACUGGGCGUAAAGCGCACGUAGGCGGAUUGUUAAGUCAGGGGUGAAAUCCUGGAGCUCAACUCCAGAACUGCCUUUGAUACUGGCGAUCUCGAGUCCGGGAGAGGUGAGUGGAACUGCGAGUGUAGAGGUGAAAUUCGUAGAUAUUCGCAAGAACACCAGUGGCGAAGGCGGCUCACUGGCCCGGUACUGACGCUGAGGUGCGAAAGCGUGGGGAGCAACAGGAUUAAGAAACCCUUGGUAC
rnacentral:rRNA from 1 species